GAUGAAGAACGCAGCGAAAUGCGAUACGUAAUGUGAAUUGCAGAAUUCAGUGAAUCAUCGAAUCUUUGAACGCAUAUUGCGCUCUCUGGUAUUCCGGAGAGCAUGCUUGUUUGAGUAUCAGUAAACACCUCAACUUCCAUAUCUUUUUUGAAAUGGGAGUUGGACUUGAGUGAUCCCAACGCUUUUCCUCACCGAAAAGUGGCGGGUUACUUGAAAUGCAGGUGCAGCUGGACUUUUCUCUGAGCUAUAAGCAUAUCUAUUUAGUCUGCCUAAAAAACAGAUUAUUACCUUUGCUGCAGCUAACAUAAAGGAGAUUAGUUCUUGUGCUGACUGAUGCAGGAUUCACAAAGACAUGCUUCGGCCGACUUUGUAAACUCGAUCUCAAAUCAAGUAAGACUACCCGCUGAACUUAAGCAUAUCAAUAAGCGGAGGA
rnacentral:misc_RNA from 1 species